UACAGAGGGGGCAAGCGUUAUUCGGAAUUAUUGGGCGUAAAGGGCGCGUAGGCGGCUUUGCAAGUGACGGGUGAAAGCCCUCGGCUUAACCGAGGAACUGCCUGUCAGACUGUAAGGCUUGAGACCGGGAGAGGUGAGUGGAAUUCCUGGUGUAGCGGUGAAAUGCGCAGAUAUCAGGAGGAACACCGGUGGCGAAGGCGGGUCUCUGGGCCGAUACUGACGCUGAGGAGCGAAAGCGUGGGGAGCGAACAGG
rnacentral:rRNA from 1 species